GGGAAGGUGGCUCAGUGGUAGAGCCCUUGCCUUGCAUGCAUGUGACCCUGGGUUCGAUUCCUCAGCACCCCA
rfam:Dipodomys ordii contig_60204, whole genome shotgun sequence.